rnacentral:lncRNA from 1 species
GAAAAAGAAAGGAAUAAAUAUGGGAGACAAUCAUCUGCAACAAGGUCAGCCUCCACAGACGGGAGGAUGGAAGCUCGGAGAAGAGAAAUAAGUCACCCAAGUUUGAAAAAGUGGUAGAACCAGACCUCAGAUGCAGCACCCGAGUCCAGAGCCCGUGUGAGUAGCUACAACGCUGAUCUGGCUCCUCCACACAGGGAUGCAAGAAGGUGCCCUGUGCCCACACCCCCAGGGGUGUAGGAACCCUGCCUGUCUCAUUGGUGGCUGGAAGGGCCCCCUGUCCCCAGGGGAGACGUGAGGCUGGGUGGACAGCAGAAGCAGGUGAGUCCUUCGAGCAAUUGGAUUUUUUUCCUAUUUGGGGAACAUCUGCAAGGACUGGGGUCAGGGCUGGUCCACAGAGCAGCGUCUGCACGCUAAGGAGGGGGAAAGGAACAAGAUCCGGGACGCAGGAGAGGGGAGAAGGAGGCGAGAGACAGAAGGAAGAGAAAUUGGGGGAGAGAGAGGUAGCCAACUGAAUAAAGAUCGGUUCUGUUGAAAAGUUGAAAAAUUCUACCAAACUAGGUAACAGGUGUUUCAUGUAACAUCCAUCCAAUCAUGCAUUUGCUUGUCUAUUUUUCACGCAGAACACUCGAAUGUCGCUAUUCCUGACCCACCCCCACCCUCCCCCCACCCAGUCCCGCAUUUUAAGUCCUGCUUCCCUUGCACUGUUGGCGACACAUCUCGAAAUGCUGAGAGACCCCCAGCCAGGGACAAGCUGAUGGGUUCUGCUUCUAGCUUCUUCUUGUGACCCAGCAUAGGACAAGGACCCCAGACCUUUAAUACUGAAACAUAACUGGCUCAAUAAAGCUCCUUAUCCGACAGGCUGUGGCA